UACGUAGGGGGGCGAGCGUUGUCCGGAAUUAUUGGGCGUAAAGAGCGUGUAGGCGGUUCGGUAAGUCUGCCGUGAAAAACCUGGGGCUCAACCCCGGGCGUGCGGUGGAUACUGCCGGGCUAGAGGGUGGUAGAGGCGAGUGGAAUUCCUGGUGUAGCGGUGAAAUGCGCAGAUAUCAGGAGGAACACCAAUUGCGAAGGCAGCUCGCUGGGACGUUACUGACGCUGAGACGCGAAAGCGUGGGGAGCAAACAGG
rnacentral:rRNA from 1 species